CAUUUUGCUGACGUCCAUGGUCCCCGCGAGGGGAUAACAGGGAAUCCGGUGCGAGCCUUGGCUUUAGUCCGGAACUGCCCCCGCAACUGUAGGCGGAGACGGGCGCUCAAUAGUCCACUGGCCGAAAGGCUGGGAAGGCGAGCGCCCGGUUCGAUCCGCGAGCCAGGAGACCUACCAUGGAAGUGACUUUCAC
rnacentral:ncRNA from 1 species